rnacentral:ncRNA from 1 species
AAGAGCCGGAAGAAUGGAGACGUUCACGUCCGGUUCCGCGAGCACCCUUGGGGGUCGGUCGGUUCCCCAGGGCGACUCGAC